rnacentral:ncRNA from 1 species
CAAGGAGCCGGGUGCAAUUCCCGGCUGGCUCUUCCGGCCGCCCAUCCGCCGGACAACC